GGGAGGAUAGCAUAAUGGAAAUGCGCCUGAGACACGAGGGUCAACAACGCCCAGUCGUUUCAGGAGAUCCGUGUUCGAAUCUGGGCUCUCCCU